GCAGAGGGGGCCCAGGCAGCACACAGCUUCUCCUCCUCUCCUCUCUCUUCUUUCUUCUAAUAACUCUCGCGAGACCCAGUUACCAUGGCAACACUCCGCGGGUCUCGCGAGAGUUAUUAGAACAGAGAAGAGAGAGGAGAGGAGGAGAAGCUGUGUGCUGCCUGGGCUCCCUCU